CUGUCAGUUCUGUAGGGCACAG
rnacentral:miRNA from 1 species